CAAAGAUGGGCAAAUGCACAGGCAGUUGUACUUUUGCGUUAACUUGGUUGUAGUUGAUCCUCCAACGUAACAAAUUGACUUUGAUAAAUAAAAUAAUCUGAAAUGCUAUUCCUUGAGCCGUGGAGAGUAAUCUGUUUAAUAUUCAUAAGUUGGGCGUAACUGCAAGGGACGCAUCAAUACAUAUACCGGGAGGCCCCGCAUCUCAUUCAUUCCCAUCUGCUGCAGGUCGGUCGCAAGAUUCUGUUUUUGUCGGAGCAGUGGUGAAAAGGAAGGAUGUCUGACGAAGGGAAGCUUUUUGUGGGUGGCCUCAGCUUUGACACUAAUGAACAGUCAUUAGAAGAUGUAUUCUCCAAAUAUGGGCAAAUAUCUGAAGUUGUUGUAAUUAAAGACAGAGAAACUCAGAGGUCCAGGGGCUUUGGUUUCGUCACCUUCGAGAACCCAGAUGAGGCCAAGGAUGCUAUGCUGGCCAUGAACGGCAAGUCUCUUGAUGGCAGACAGAUCCGUGUCGACCAGGCUGGCAAAUCUGGCGGUGGUGGCAGGUCCGGAGGCGGAUUCCGAGGGGGCUCUUCAGGCGGCAGAGGAGGUGGAGGAGGAUACUUCCGUGGAGGCAGAGGUGGUGGUGGUGGAAGAGGUGGGCGUGGCUUCUCACGAGGUGGUGGAGACCGGGGAUAUGGUGGUGGACGUUACGACAACAGAAGUGGAGGCUCAUACGGAUCAGAAAGAGGCUACUACAACAAAGACAGAGCGCAAGGAGGAGGAUACGGAGAUCGUUCAGGAGGCGGUGCUGUUGUCAGUGGCGCACAGUGAGGCUGACUCCUGUAGUUGAAAUAUGUUGAACUGAAGAAACAAUAUGUUGAAGGCCCAGUUUAGCACUGCAGAAAGCCAAGGUGACGAGGGCGGCUGGUAGGACAGUGGUGUCCGGAUGCCUGUCGUCUGGGCACGACCCCGAACCGGCGGCCCCAUCCCGAUGACGGCGGGCCUGGCCUGGUCCUAGCCCAGCGCCUGCUGCUCCGUGACACUUUAAAUCUUCUUCUGAAACCCACCAUGUAGAUAAGAGCAGUCCUGGAUAAGUGCGGGGAGGGCUGGCUUGCACUCCGAGCCACCCACCACCGGUCUGUUCCAAGUUUUUGUUUUUUACUUUCUGAUCCUCCUUAUUUGUUAUUGAAAACCGCAGAGAACUAAAUUUUUAUUUACAGUUUUUGUGGGGAGCUCGAAAGAGCAAGGCUCAUGUGCUGUAGGCCUUUACCUCACUUUGGGCUGUGCAUGGAAGAGGCACAACCUGAAAGACAGGGAAUGUAUCUUGGAUAGAGAAUGGUAAUGUUGUUGUAGUUUCAAAGCUCUGCUCUGUAACAAAGUACGAAAAUGCUUGCACUUAUUUUGGUUGAUUUGAUUGUGACUGCUUUGCCACCCAUUAAUGGUGAUGAGUCUGAAUGAGGGAAAUGUACACAAUGGUCUGAACCCUUCUAUCACCACCAUCAUGUUUGCACUGUUCUACCUGGCUGAGGGAGGGAUGGUGGAGACGUUCUCUAAACGUUCUCUAGUCCACUGGGCUUGUUAGGAUCGCUGUGGGUUCCGGUAAAUGAAGAGGGCCUGCUCAAUUGUUUUCUGGAUCACUGAUCUGUUUUUUGACUGACCUAUCUAUGGCAGGUUCUUGUCUAAUUUAUUUUGGUUUCUACUGAGAACGGUUUUUAUUUUAUUAGCUGCACAUUUUCAAUAAGGAACUGUCACAUGACAGUUGAGUACACAGCGGUGAAUUAAUGUGAAGCGGGCCAGUUCUUAAAGGUAACUACUACUUAUGAGCUCUUUUCAACAAACCUACUUUUUAUGAGGGUACAAAUGGAGUGAUUUCACAACUGUUCUCGUCAUAGCAUCAGAUUGGUUUUGUAUUUGAUUUUUUUUUAAAGCAUUCUGUAUCUUCAUGGUUGUAUUUUUCCUAAAUAAAAAACCUUUACAAAUC